rnacentral:sRNA from 1 species
AAUUAUUUAAGAUAUUUUGACCCGAAACCUGCAGGGCAAAGAAAAGGUUUACAAUUGAUUUUUAAAAAUAGCACAGCUUUAUAUUUGACAAAAUCAUUCAUCAUCUAAUUUGAAUAGCUAGAGUAAUGGAAUUUGUAAUACAAAAUAGUAUUUAAUGGAAAUUAAGCUAAUGUAUAGAAAUUUAGAAUUUGAUUAAACGGCUUUACGAAAAGUGAAAAAAAAUUGAAGUUUGCACAAAGAAAUAUAUUGGUAAUUUGUUUUUUAUUUUUCGUCAAUAUUUGUAGCAUCAUUAUGCAAGCAAGCUUUAAGUGUAAACAAAUGAUAUAAAUUUGUAAAUUUAAACCAGUUUAUAAGGAUUGUUAUUGAAAUGUGUUGUCUUACUAUGAUUUACCCUUCCAUCCUUUAAUUUUUUUUAUAUAUUUUUAUAUGCUUGUCUUCCAUAUAUAUUUUUGGAAAUGCUUACAAUUCAAAAUAAAGAAUCAUAGUGUUUCGAUCUU